UUCCCCUAGUACUGCGAGUGAAGAGGGAAAAGCUCAAAUUUAAAAUCUGGCAGCUUCGCUGUCCGAGUUGUAAAUUAGAGAAGUGUUGCCCGUGUUGGACCGUGUACAAGUCUCCUGGAAUGGAGCGUCAUAGAGGGUGAGAAUCCCGUCUUUGACACGGACCCCCCCAAUACUUUGUGGUACACUCUCAAAGAGUCGUGUUGUUUGGGAAUGCAGCACUAAAUGGGUGGUAAAUUCCAUCUAAAGCUAAAUAUUGGCGAGAGACCGAUAGUGAACAAGUACCGUGAGGGAAAGAUGAAAAGAACUUUGGAAAGAGAGUUAAACAGUACGUGAAAUUGUUGAAAGGGAAACGCUUAAAGUCCAGUCGCGUUGGUUGGAAAUCAGUCUUGCUCUUUUGCUUGAUGUACUUUCUGACUGACGGGUCAACAUCAGUUUUGACCGGUGGAUAAAGGUUGAGGGAAUGUGGCACCUUCGGGUGUGUUAUAGCCCUUGAUUGUAUGCAUCGGUUGGGACUGAGGCUUCACACCGCGAGGUGUUGGAUGUUGGCAUAAUGGCUUUAAUCGACCCGUCUUGAAACACGGACCAAGGAGUCUAACAUGCUUGCGAGUAUUUGGGUGGAAAACCCAUAUGCGCAAUGAAAGUGAAAGUUGAGAACUCGUUAGAGUGCAUCGACGCCCAUACCUGAUGUUUUACUGACGGAUAUGCGGUAGAGCAAGUAUGUUGGGACCCGAAAGAUGGUGAACUAUGCCUGAAUAGGGUGAAGCCAGAGGAAACUCUGGUGGAGGCUCGUAGCGAUUCUGACGUGCAAAUCGAUCGUCAAAUUUGGGUAUAGGGGCG
rnacentral:rRNA from 1 species